rnacentral:rRNA from 1 species
AUGGCUACUUGCUUAUCUGACCUGGUUAGAGAUUACUGUUUAGAUUUUAUUGGUAUUCAGGAAACAAUGAAGAAGGACUUUUCCUCUAAAUUCUUGAGGAAAUUUGAUCCAGGACAGUUUUUUGAUUGGAGGUGGAUCCCUUCAAUAGGUAAAUCUGGGGGAAUUCUUUGUGGUACUAAGGAAGAUACUUUUGAAGUUAGAUCCUGUGAGCCAGGUAAAUAUAUCAUGAAGCUUGAACUAUGGGAUAAGAGAAAAGUGGUAUACUGUAUUCUGGUAGUGUAUGGCUCUGCUCAUGAAGAGUAUAAAAUGGAAUUUUUGACAGAGUUGUCUGACAUGUGUAGCAAUAUUACUUGCCCUUACAUUGUAGGGGGAGACUUUAAUAUUCUUAGAUAUGCUAAGGAGAAAAAUAAGAAAACUAGAAUGAGUCAUGCUACUGAUCUCUUUAACUCCAUCAUUAAUACAUUCUGUCUCAGGGAAGUUGACAUGAAUGGUGGUAUAUAUACUUGGUCUAAUAAACAACAAAUUCCUACCCUGGAAAAAUUGGACCGUAUACUUAUGUCCAGUUCUUGGGAAAGGCAAUUUCCUUUGACUUCUGUCAGGAAACUUACUAAAGAGAUUUCAGAUCAUAGCCCUUUGCUCCUGAAUACUGAA